UACGAAGGUGGCAAGCGUUUUUCGGAUUCACUGGGCGUACAGGGAGCGUAGGCGGUUGGGUAAGCCCUCCGUGAAAUCUCCGGGCCUAACCCGGAAAGUGCGGAGGGGACUGCUCGGCUAGAGGAUGGGAGAGGAGCGCGGAAUUCCCGGUGUAGCGGUGAAAUGCGUAGAGAUCGGGAGGAAGGCCGGUGGCGAAGGCGGCGCUCUGGAACAUUUCUGACGCUGAGGCUCGAAAGCGUGGGGAGCAAACAGG
rnacentral:rRNA from 1 species